GGGAAGCCGGUGCGAGUCCGGCGCGGUCCCGCCACUGUGACCGGGGGAGGACCCCGGAAGUCAGGUCACC
rnacentral:ncRNA from 2 species